AACAAGAAAAUGACUUAGUGGCGAACGGGUGAGUAACACGUGAGAAACCUCCCUAUCACAAGGGGAUAGCCUCCGGAAACGGUGAAUUAAUACCCUAUGACAUCACAAUAUCGCAUGGUAUAGUGAUCAAAGAUUUAUCGGUGAUAGAUGGUCUUGCGGCUGAUUAGCUAGUUGGUAAGGUAACUGCUUACCAAGGCAACGAUCAGUAUCCGGCUUGAGAGGGUGAACGGACACACUGGAACUGAGACACGGUCCAGACUCCUACGGGAGGCAGCAGUGGGGAAUUUUGCACAAUGGGGGAAACCCUGAUGCAGCGACGUCGCGUGAACGAUGAAGGCCUUCGGGUUGUAAAGUUCUGUCCUAAGCGAAGAUAAUGACAGUAGCUUAGAAGAAAGCUCCGGCUAAAUACGUGCCAGCAGCCGCGGUAAUACGUAUGGACCGAGCGUUGUCCGGAAUUAUUGGGCGUAAAGGGUACGUAGGCGGUUAUGUGGGUCUGUAUUAAAAGGCAUUGGCUCAACCAAUGUUCGGUAUGGAAACUGCAUAACUUGAGUAGAUGAGGGGUAAGUGGAAUUCCUAGUGUAGCGGUGAAAUGCUUAGAUAUUAGGAGGAAUACCAGUGGCGAAGGCGACUUACUGGAAUCUAACUGACGCUGAGGUACGAAAGCGUGGGGAGCAAACAGGAUUAGAUACCCUGGUAGUCCACGCAGUAAACGAUGAGAAGGGGUGUCGGGAGUCAAAUCUCGGCGCCGCCGCUAACGCAU
rnacentral:rRNA from 1 species